ACUAGCAUGUCAUUAGCAUGUCGUGUAUCAUUAGUGUGUCACUAGUGUCAUUAGCAUGUUGUGUAUCAUUAGUGUGUCACUAGCGUGUCAUUAGCGUGUCAUUAGCAUGUCAUUAGUAUGCCGUUAGCGUGUCGUUUGCAUGUCAUGUGCCAUUAGCAUGUCAUUAGCGUGCCAUUAGCAUGUUGUUAGCGUGUUGUUAGCAUGUCGUGCGUCAUUAGCAUGUCAUUAGCGUGCCGUUAGCAUGCCAUCAGCAUGUCAUUAGUGUGUCACUAGCGUGUCGUUAGCAUGUCGUGUAUCAUUAGCAUGUAAUUAGCAUGUAAUUACCAUGUCCAUCCCUUAGUGAGUUCUCCAAGGAACGUGAGAAGGCCAAAGCUCGCGGCGACUUCCAGAAGCUGCGGGAGAAGCAGCAGCUGGAGGAGGAUCUGAGGGGCUACAUGGAGUGGAUCACACAGGCCGAGGACAUGGAGGGGGACGAGGACGAGCACGAGAAGCACCGUAUGACCCCAAAUUGGGUGGGGGGGAUAUAAGACCCCUCCUCAUAUAUAUACAUAUAGGGUUGUCCUGUUGUUUUCUUGUUCUCGACCCUAUAGGGCUGACGACAGAGGAGCUGAUGGGGAAGAGGAAACCGCGACUCAAAUGGCUGCGACACGCCAGUCACUCCACGGAUACACACGCCAGCCUCCCUGGUAGCGAGACCACGUCGGUGAACACUGAGACAGCGGGGGAGGAGGAAACACAACCCAACGCCUGCGACCGGUGUCUGUGAGUGACCCUAUAUGGGCCCUAUAGACCCUACAGCCCCUGUGGGGCACCCCAUAGACCCUAUAGACCCUACAGCCCCAUAUGGGGCACCACAUAGACCCUAUAGACCCUACAGCCCCAUAUGGUGUGCCCCAUAGACCCUACAGCCCCCUAUGGUGCUCCCCAUAGACCCUACAGCCCCCCAUAGACCCUACAGCCCCCUAUGGUGCUCCCCAUAG
rnacentral:lncRNA from 1 species